GCGGACGUGGUGCACGGCGCACUGCUGCCUUCCCUAAUGAAAUAGUGAAAGCCUGUAAGCAGCCCGACGGGGUUCGACUCCCCGCGUCCGCA